rnacentral:rRNA from 1 species
GACGAACGCUGGCGGCGUGCUUAACACAUGCAAGUCGAACGCUGAAGCUCAGCUUUUGUUGGGUGGAUGAGUGGCGAACGGGUGAGUAACACGUGAGUAACCUGCCUCCUUCUUUGGGAUAACGCCCGGAAACGGGUGCUAAUACUGGAUAUUCACUGGUCUUCGCAUGGGGGUUGGUGGAAAGGGUUUUUCUGGUGGGGGAUGGGCUCGCGGCCUAUCAGCUUGUUGGUGGGGUGAUGGCCUACCAAGGCUUUGACGGGUAGCCGGCCUGAGAGGGUGACCGGUCACAUUGGGACUGAGAUGCGGCCCAGACUCCUACGGGAGGCAGCAGUGGGGAAUAUUGCACAAUGGGCGCAAGCCUGAUGCAGCGAUGCCGCGUGAGGGAUGGAGGCCUUCGGGUUGUGAACCUCUUUCGCUCAUGGUCAAGCCGCAACAAUGGUUGUGGUGAGGGUAGUGGGUAAAGAAGCGCCGGCUAACUACGUG